CAGAACUGGGUCCAGAUGUUACCACGAGGAGCACACGUCCUGCAGCAGAACUGGGUCCAGAUAUCACCAUGAGGAGCAUACAUUCUGCAGCAGAACUGGGUCCAGAUGUUACCAUGAGGAGCACACAUCUUCCAGAAGAACUGGGUCCAGAUGUUACCAUGAAGAGCUCCCAUCCUGCAGCAGAACUGGGUCCAGAUGUUACCACGAGGAGCACACAUUCUGCAGCAGAACUUGAUCCAGAAAGUACCGUGUGGAGCACACAUCUUCCAGAAGAACUGGGUCCCGAUGGUACUACGCAGAGUGUGCAUUCUUCAGCAGAAUUGGGCUUGGGUCUUAGCAUAUGGAGUGCAUAUCCUACAGCAGAUAUUUCCACAUGGAGCACACGCCCUUCAGCAGAACCAGAUGUAGAAGAUACCAUGAGGAGCACACCUCCUGCAGCUGAAUCAGGUCUAGAAGGUACCACAUGGGAUACACAUUCUUCAGCCGAUUUUGAUCUUGAUGGUACCAUGAGGAGCAAACAAUCUUCAGCAGAAGCAAGUCUCGAAGGCACAACAGGGAGCAAACAUCUUGCAGCAGAAACAAGCCUAAGAGGUACCACGUGGAGCACUCAUCCCACAGAGGGUGCAGCAUCAGAUGGAAUAAUGAGGAGAACACUUCCCACAGCAGAAUCAGGUGCUGGUCCAAUGGGAAUCUCUGCUCUGCCCACUAGAGCUCCAUCACCCUCCCCAUCUUUGGCCCCCACCCUGGGGCUGUCUGUCUCUCCUGCCCUUGCUGUUCAACUGAAUCCAGGCUCUGGCACUCGCUCCCAGCACCCCACAGAGGCCCCCAGGACCCAGAGACCCCCAGAACCUACCCAGUACCCUGAGAUCCCCAACAUCCAGGGACACCCGACAUCCACCCAACACCCAGCAGAGAGCCCCGCUGCCUGGACAGAGCUUGUGCUCUCCCAACAUCCCACUGCAGAGCCCUCCAGUUCCUGGACACCCCCAGACCUCUUCAUCCAGGCUCCACCAAGGAACCCCAGCCCCCAGAGCACUCCAGUACUCACCAUGCUCCCCAUAGAUUCCACCAGCCCUUCCAUGAAUGCUGCUCGUUCCAAGCACCUCAUGGAGAUCCCCAGACCCCAGAGUCUCCCAGCACCUUCUGAGGACCCCAUGGAGACCAUCAGUACCCAGAGACCCCCAGUAUCUGCCCAGCACCCCACAGAGACUCUCAGCUCCAAGAGCCCCCCAGCACUCUCCCAGUAUCUAACAGAGAUCCUCAGCACACUGGUCCCCUCAGCACCCACCCAACACCCCAUGGAGACCUUUGACAUCCAGCCUCCCACAGCACCCACUGAAGAAUCCAUGGAGACCUUCAGCACCCGGAGGCUCCCAGCAUUGCCCCAGCACCCCACAGAGCCCCCCAGCACCCAGAGCCCCCCAUCAACCCACCAACACCCUACGAAGACCUUUGGCACCCAGAUCCCCCCAGCACCCUCCCAGCACCCCAAAGAGACCCUCAGCACCCAGGCACCCCCAGAACACCCUAAGCACCUCACAGAUCCCCCCAGUGCCCAGAUUCCCUCAGCACCUCUCCAGCAUCCAAUGGAGACUUUUGGCACUCAGACUCCCCAAGCACCCCUCCAGCACCCCAUGAAGUUGUUCAGCACCCAGCCCCCCCCAGCACCCACAGAGACCCUCCGCACCCUUUCUGCAAGCCCUGUACUGCCUGGACCCCCAUGUGCAGGUCCAGCCCAGCCAGCACCGCCUGUGCCAACACUCUCUGCACUGUGGGUCCGGGGAGGACCCUGUGUGGCCCCUGCGCUGCGGGCACUGUUGUGGGAAGUGCGGGGGCUGCGGGGGCAGCUGCGGGCCCUGGCUCGCACCCAGCGGAGGGGAGCUCAGCGCCUGGAGGCCAUCGCCCGCCGCCUGGGCCAGCUUGCUGCCCUCGGACAGCACCUCCUGGAGGAGCCCCCCCGGCUGUACGGGGGUGUGGGCAUCCGAGGGGGAGCCUUGCACAGGAGGCAACGGAAAUAAAGCCGGCCUGGUUCACCAGAGAAUCUUGAGUGUUGAAGAGGGGGAGGGGAAGGAGGAAGAGGCGGGGGGAGAAGGAGGGGGCCAGUGAGAGGACCAGGGAGAGGGAGAGGGAUGGGGAGAGGAGAGGAGAGGAGGACUCAUCCCAUCCUGGCGCCUGCUUGGCUGCUGCAGCGUUCCCCUUCCUGUUCUCAGCUUUCGAUUCCUCCCCUCGCUCCCCCUCCUUGACCCCCUUCUUAAAAGGGUGGCCCCAGCGUCUGGGGAGGCCCAGCUGGCAGCAUGGGGGGGCUGCGUGACCUUGGACUGUGCCUGG
ensembl:lncRNA proline-rich protein 36-like